UCUCAGGUCUUAUAAUAUGUAGGUAA
rnacentral:sRNA from 1 species